rnacentral:rRNA from 1 species
CCUACGGGAGGCAGCAGUGGGGAAUAAUGGGCAAUGGGCGCAAGCCUGACCCAGCAACGCCGCGUGAAGGAAGAAGGCUUUCCGGUUGUAAACUUCCUUUAAUGGGGAAGAGCAGUAGACGGUACCCCUUGCAUAAGCCACGGCUAACUACGUGCCAGCAGCCGCCGUAAUACGUAGGUGGCAAGCGUUGUCCGGAUUUACUGGGUGUAAAGGGCGUGCACCCGGAGAGACAAGUCCGUUGUGAAAUCCACGGGCUCAACCCGUGAACUGCAUUUGAAACUGUUUGCCUUGAGUGUGGGAGGGGUAAUCGGAAUUCCUGGUGUAGCGGUGAAAUGCGUAGAUAUAAGGAGGAACACCAGUGGCGAAGGCGGAUUACUGGACGAUAACUGACGGUGAGGCGCGAAGGCGUGGGGAGCGAACGGGAUUAGAUACCCUAGUAGUC